rnacentral:rRNA from 1 species
CGGCGCAACUGGCGAGGGAGUAAGAAGUGUUCCUUUUGUACUCAUGACGAGACAAUCAAACACCUCUUUUUCCAAUGCAAGUUUGCACGUUCUACGUGGUCAGUCAUCCAAAUAGCGUCAAAUUUGUAUCCGCCCACAAGUGUUGCCAAUAUUUUUGGUCAUUGGUUGGACGGUAUUACAAAUAGGUUCAAAACGCUAAUAAGGGUGGGAGCGUAUGCCUUAAUUUGGUCGCUUUGGCUAUGUAGAAAUGAUUUGGUUUUUAAUGACAAAAAUGCUUCUCCUCUACAGGUUAUUUUCCGGUGUACGCAUUCGCUACGUACGUGGUCUAUACUACAACGACCGGAGUACCAACCGCUGUUCAUGGCGGUGUGUACGCGAUUGGAGCAGGUGGCUACGGAGGUUUUUUCCCAACAUGGGUGGCAGCAUAACCUAUAG